AUUGAACGCUGGCGGCAUGCUUUACACAUGCAAGUCGAACGGGCUUGGGGGCUUGCUCCCAAGUUAGUGGCGAACGGGUGAGUAAUACAUCGGAACGUACCGUGUAGUGGGGGAUAACGUAGCGAAAGUUACGCUAAUACCGCAUACGAUCUACGGAUGAAAGCAGGGGACCUUCGGGCCUUGUGCUAUACGAGCGGCCGAUGUCUGAUUAGCUGGUUGGUGAGGUAAAGGCUCACCAAGGCGACGAUCUGUAGCGGGUCUGAGAGGAUGAUCCGCCACACUGGAACUGAGACACGGUCCAGACUCCUACGGGAGGCAGCAGUGGGGAAUUUUGGACGAUGGGCGCAAGCCUGAUCCAGCCAUGCCGCGUGAGUGAAGAAGGCC
rnacentral:rRNA from 1 species